rnacentral:lncRNA from 1 species
GAGUGUGCGUGUGUGUAUAUAUAUUGAGGAAGAGUUGAGGAAGGUUGGUUUUGUUGCUUGAGAAAUGCUUUUUUUUUUUUGGCUAAAAAAGCAGGAGUUGGAGGGGGCGACCCGGUGUAUCUAUCUCUCCGGUGGGUGACUAUAGGACUCUAACCCCCAUGGGAAAAUAUUCAAUUCGGAGUCGAGUUUGAGUGAAUAGGCAGCCCCCUUUUCACUAUACAGACGAAUCCAAUGGACGAGUAAGUUUCGCAUGGAGACUGCCUUUGGUAGAUGCCGUUUAUAGGCCUAAUGGUUAUGACUUGGGCUGCAAGCCAUUAACUAUUAAUUUGCGUUUACAUACACACACACAGCGCGCACACACACUCAUGCAUAUACAUAUAUAGAUAUACAAAUAUAUAUAUAUAUAUAUAUAUAGACACACACACACA